rnacentral:rRNA from 1 species
AUUGAACGCUGGCGGCAGGCCUAACACAUGCAAGUCGAACGGUAACAGGAAGCAGCUUGCUGCUUUGCUGACGAGUGGCGGACGGGUGAGUAAUGUCUGGGAAACUGCCUGAUGGAGGGGGAUAACUACUGGAAACGGUAGCUAAUACCGCAUAACGUCGCAAGACCAAAGAGGGGGACCUUCGGGCCUCUUGCCAUCGGAUGUGCCCAGAUGGGAUUAGCUAGUAGGUGGGGUAACGGCUCACCUAGGCGACGAUCCCUAGCUGGUCUGAGAGGAUGACCAGCCACACUGGAACUGAGACACGGUCCAGACUCCUACGAGAGGCAGCAGUGGGGAAUAUUGCACAAUGGGCGCAAGCCUGAUGCAGCCAUGCCGCGUGUAUGAAGAAGGCCUUCGGGUUGUAAAGUACUUUCAGCGGGGAGGAAGGGAGUAAAGUUAAUACCUUUGCUCAUUGACGUUACCCGCAGAAGAAGCACCGGCUAACUCCGUG